ACGAGCUACACAGCGAUGUGAUGCUAAUCUCCAAACCAUGUCUCAGUUCGGAUCGGAGUCUGCAACUCGACUCCGUGAAGCUGGAUUCGCUAGUAAUCGCGCAUCAGCCAUGGCGCGGUGAAUACGUUCCCGGGCCUUGUACACACCGCCCGUCAAGCCAUGGGAGCCGGGGGUACCUGAAGUCCGUAACCGCGAGGAUCGGCCUAGGGUAAAACUGGUGACUGGGGCUAAGUCGUAACAAGGUAGC
rnacentral:rRNA from 1 species